GAAAGCCUCAUAUGUCUCAAAAUAACAUGGCAGCACGGCUUAUGUUUGCAAAGCUGCAUCUGAACAGACCACAAGACUUCUGGAACAGUGUCCUUUGGACAGACAACACCAAGUGGAGAUGUUUGGCCAUAAUGCACUGCACUACUUUUGGCAAAAACCAAACACAGGAUAUCAGCACAAACACCUCAUACUAAUUGUGAAGCCCUGUAGUGGAUGAUGAUUUGGGCUUGUUUUGCAGCAACAGGACCUGGG